CCUACGGGAGGCAGCAGUAGGGAAUCUUUCACAAUGGGCGAAAGCCUGAUGGAGCAACGCCGCGUGCAGGAUGAAGGCCUUCGGGUUGUAAACUGCUUUUAUAAGCGAGAAAUAUUAUAGUAACUUAUGAAUAAGGAUCGGCUAACUACGUGCCAGCAGCCGCGGUCAUACGUAGGAUCCGAGCAUUAUCCGGAGUGACUGGGUGUAAAGAGUUUCGUAGGUGGCAUAAUAAGUAGCUAGUGAAAUCUGGUGGCUCAACCAUUCAGACUAUUAGCUAAACUGUUAAGCUCGAGACCGUUAGGGGUAACUGGAAUUUCUAGUGUAGGAGUGAAAUCCGUAGAUAUUAGAAGGAACACCAAUAGCGUAGGCAGGUUGCUGGGACGGUUCUGACACUAAGGCACGAAAGCGUAGGGAGCAAACGGGAUUAGAUACCCUUGUAGUC
rnacentral:rRNA from 1 species